UUUCUGUGUCUGGCUUACGUCACGCGGCAUAACGUCCUCCAGCUUGAGCCAUGCUGUUUUUGCUUUUCAGUCUUGUACCCACCACCUUUCCUUCUCUCUGCCAGUUGGAUAUUUUCAGUGCGUCUGUGUUUGUGAGCAUGCACAGGCACCUCUGUGGUUUGCCUUUGCCUCAGUUCUCUGACCUUUCGCAGGCGCUCCUGUGGGGAGCGUGCUUUGCUGAGUCUGCAUGUUUACAGGCGGUCCUCAAACUGAUCGCCAGAGGAAGCCAGGCUUCCUGGGGUCCUGAAUCAGCAGAGCAGGAAGGAAAUAAAAAGGCCACAGAACUGUCGAAGAGGAAGAAGACAACUUGAGGGCAGAAUCUGUACCUCUAGGGACAGGUCUGAGAAAAAGAAACCGUGUGAUGCCUUGGAGUCCCAUCAUCCGCGAAUAGAGGCAGAGGCUCCAGAGCAAGGCUCCAGCGAUGCUGUUUCUUCCAAUCAAACGACCUUGGAUUCCACAUUCAUAACCAAGUACUUGGCAACCGGCCCUCUCAUAUGUUGCGAAACAAAAAUGUGUUGCCUUCAGUGUGUUUUUAAUAGGCCAAGCAGUUUAUUUGAUCACAGUGCUUGGGUCUAGACUCAGAGACACCAGAACUUUCCCACUGUGUUGUCACUGCUUUGGUUAGUAUCUUGGUUUCCCUUUGUCUUUCUAAAGAACCAUUUGGGGACUGGGAGAGUGAUUUCCUGGGAGUAGCUACAGGCCCUUGACCACGACCUAAACUCUUCCAAGGAAUUCGCAUCCAGGCUUGCAAAAUAUUUUGCAAAACUUGCAAAAAUUCACCAGUUCUAGAUUUUGAAAUUACUGGCACAGGCAAGCGUCUACAAUCGUGAAAUUCUCAUGAGUGGGGUAGAGCAAAUUUCUAUAAACAAAGUAAACUCCAAUCUCUGCAGCCCUUUGUGGAAAUAUUUAUGCCCCGCGAAAAGGGUCCCUUUCAGCUCUAGGAUGCUAUAAUAUAAACAUUUACUAUAAAUGAAGUGCUUUGUGAAAACACCCAUUCCCUCGGAAAGCUUCUAGUACCUAAUUUUACCUAAACACCUCUUUUUGCUCCAUAGGUUUGGCGGAAAGGUAAAUAUCCCUUGUGAUUCUCCGGACAAGAGAGGAGCCAAAUGUAUAGUGGAUGUAAGUCCGUUUUAUUAAGGGGCCUGAAAGUAUAAACAACAACCAAAAAAACCUUGCAGACCCACGAGCCUUGUGACCAGCUUUCGUGGAACUCAGCGGUCCUCCUCAGAGCCACAACCAGAGGCCCUCCCAUAACAGUGAACCCCGGUGUCCCAGAAGACAGCAGCAGGGCCAAGGGUUGAUUUAUCAGCCGUUAUUCAAAUCCCCACUUGUAGACAGCUGGAUUUCUUUUCAGCGCAGCCUAAUUAUUUUUUGCUGGCCCUUGUAUUCACGUCCGCUCGCCUGAUUUACUUGAAUAAAGGCUUGUGUGAAGUGAAGAGUCUCCAACCAAAUGACCAUUGGAAGUAGAUAGUGGUUCAGUGCACCGGACAAAGCGGUGCUUCCUGGAACUCUCCUUCCAGACGGGUCAAAAGCCAUAGCCCCGGAGACCAAGGAGCCAGCCUCAGGCCGACGGGAACAGCUGAACUUUCUCCCCUGCUAUUCCCGACCUCUCUCCCUUGCUUGGCGCAUCUCGUGCUUUCUUGCCUGCCUCUUUCCUUUUCCUGUUUUCCUUCUCUCCCCUUCCUCCCUUAGCAGCCGCAGUCUUACUCAUACCACACCUCUUAACCAGACGUCUUACUGUCCUCCAUCCUACUUUCCGGGGCACCUUUGGACUUGUUCCUGUUUUCUUCUCCUCUUUCCAAACAUCUCCUGUCUCCACGUACGGGGCCCAGGCCACCCCCACCCAAAUCUAGUGUCUUGUAUGCCACCAGUCCCGAUACUGUCCCCGGAGUCAGAGUUGUUAAAUUGUCCUUGGUAAUUACUUCCUUCUGGCUUUGGAAUGCAGGCUUGUCACACACCCCAAUAGCCAUUUUUCUUCUCCUCCACUUUUGGACGGAACAUGGCUGCCCAGACUGCAAUUCACAGCCUCUCUUGCAGCCAGAAGUUGCCCUGAACAAAGAGGUGACCCCAGAACUGCCAUGUGGAGUGCCUAGCAAACGUCCUUAAAGGGUAACGUGAAGCACCCUUCUUUGCUCCUUCCUAGUUCCUACCAACUAGAAUAUGAGUGUUGUCUGGAGGUUCAGUAGCCAGCUUAGAUCAUGAGGCUGCUCUCCGAGCCACAGAGCAGUAAGACCGGGGCGGGGUCUCUGGUCUCUUGAUUAGAAGGCCUCCGUACCAGCCCUGGACUGACUGCCAAGUUCUGUUACUGGAGGAAGAAGCUAACCUUCCAUCACAUUUAAGGCACAAUUGUCUUUGAAAGAUAGAUGUAGCCAAAUGUACAUUCUAACAUGGAAUGUAUAAAAUCAUAUGGCACAUAAAUCAAAUUUGCUGAGACCCAUGCCCAAGGUUGGGCCUUGCAAAGAGAACAGACAUAAAGGAAAGAAAUUCUAAUUACUCAAAACCCUGGUGACCAUCUUUUCAUAGGUUUACCAGAUUCCCUCAGUGCCACAAAUGAUGAGCAAUAAUAUAGCCUUUCGGUCCAGAGGCAGAAGAUAUUUUAAUGUUCUGGAACUUUGGGGGGGAUGGAGAGGCGACUGCAGUCUUAGCCACAAAUUGCAAGAAGACCACAAGGAAGGGGGCUGCCUGGGUAGCUCAGCCCAUUGGGCAUCCGACUUCGGCUCAGGUCAUGAUCUCGCGGUUCAUGAGUUCGAGCCCCGCGUCGGACUCUGUGCUAACAGCUCUGUUUAGCCUGUUUCGGAUUCUGCCUCUCCCUCUCUCUCUGUCCCUUCCCCGCUCAUGCUCUGUCUCUCUCUUCCUCAAAAAAUAAACAUUUAAAAAUUAAAAAAAAAAAAAAGAAUACUCUAAGGAGGGGCUUAGUCAGCAGAGCCUGUGACUCUUGAACUCAGGGUCUUGAGUUUAAGCUCCGCGUUGGGUGUGCAGUCUACUUGAUAAAUAAAUAAAUAAAUAAAUAAAU